AUGGUGUUGUUCGAUUGCAACAUCUUCGCCAUCCUAUCUGAGGUUUUGUCCGCGAUGUUUUGUGAGGUAAUGUAUGGUAAAUCAGAGUUUGCCGACCAUCUAAUCCACAAGUUGAAACAUCACCCCGGCACGAUCGAGGCUGCGGCUAUCAUGGAGCACAUUCUGGAUGGCAGCCCGUUCAUGGUCCACGGCAAGAUGGUGAACGACAUGGACCCACACCUGAAGCCGAAGCAGGACAGAUAUGCGAUCCGCACCGCGCCACAGUGGUUUGGCCCGCAGAUUGAGGUCAUUCGGGCUGCUGCCAAGUGUAUUGAGCGUGAGGUGAACUCCAUGAGUGAUAAUCCAGUUAUUGACGUCCAUCGUGGCAUUGCACUCCAUGGCGGUAACUUCCAGGGAACACCCAUCGGCAUAUCUAUGGACAACACCCGCCUUGCCAUCGCCAGCAUUGGGAAGCUCAUGUUCGCGCAGUUCUCCGAGCUCGUAAAUGAGUUCUAUAAUAAUGGCCUGACGUCAAACCUAGCUGGAAGCCGCGACUCAAGCUUAGACUAUGGUCUCAAAGGCAUUGAGAUCGCCAUGGCUGCCUACUGCUCGGAGCUCCAAUACCUUGCCAACCCGGUGACAACCCAUGUCGAAAGCGCGGAGCAGCACAACCAGGGGGUGAACUCACUCGGCCUUGUCUCAGCCAGGAAGACUGCAGAGGCGGUGGAGAUGUUGAAGCUCAUGUCCUCGACGUACCUGGUGGCACUUUGCCAGGCCGUCGACCUCCGCCACCUGGAGGAAAACAUCAAGAUCUCCGUCAACAUAUGCGUGGCACAAGCUGCCAAGAAGGUGGUCGACGUCACCAGUGUUGAGAAGAAGCUUGCGGCCGCCAUUGACCGCGUGGACGUUUUCCGCUAUGCCGACGACCCAUGCAGCGCCAACUACCCCCUGAUGCACAAGCUGCAUUGCGUGCUCCUCGAGCACGCUCUUGCUAGCAGGAGCAUCGACGAUGAGGUGUUGUGCAAGAUCAGUAAGCUAGAGGAGGAGCUCGUGAUAGCGCUGCCACGGAAGGUCGAGGCGGCGCGUGUGGCCGUGGAGAAGGGCACUGCACCCAUCUCAAACAUGAUCAUGGGGAGCAGGUCGUUCCCACUAUCGUUUUGUUCGUGA
rnacentral:rRNA from 1 species